UUCGACCUACGGGAGGCAGCAGUGGGGAAUAUUGCACAAUGGGGGAAACCCUGAUGCAGCGAUGCCGCGUGGAGGAAGAAGGUUUUCGGAUUGUAAACUCCUUUUAUCAGGGACGAUAAUGACGGUACCUGAAGAAAAAGCUCCGGCUAACUACGUGCCAGCAGCCGCGGUAAUACGUAGGUGGCGAGCGUUAUCCGGAAUGAUUGGGCGUAAAGGGUGCGUAGGCGGCCUGCUAAGUCUGGAGUGAAAGGUACCGGCUCAACCGGUACAGGCUCUGGAAACUGGCGGGCUAGAGAGCAGGGGAG
rnacentral:rRNA from 1 species